CAGUCGCCGCGGGAAUACGUAGGGUGCGAGCGUUAAUCGGAAUUACUGGGCGUAAAGCGUGCGCAGGCGGUUAUAUAAGACAGAUGUGAAAUCCCCGGGCUCAACCUGGGACCUGCAUUUGUGACUGUAUAGCUAGAGUACGGUAGAGGGGGAUGGAAUUCCGCGUGUAGCAGUGAAAUGCGUAGAUAUGCGGAGGAGCACCGAUGGCGAAGGCAAUCCCCUGGACCUGUACUGACGCUCAUGCACGAAAGCGUGGGGAGCAAACAGGAUUAGAUACCCGUGUAGUCCCUGUCUCUUAUAC
rnacentral:rRNA from 1 species